UACGUAGGGCGCAAGCGUUGUCCGGAAUUAUUGGGCGUAAAGAGCUCGUAGGCGGUUUGUCGCGUCUGCUGUGAAAACCUGAGGCUCAACCUCGGGCUUGCAGUGGGUACGGGCAGACUAGAGUGCGGUAGGGGUGACUGGAAUUCCUGGUGUAGCGGUGGAAUGCGCAGAUAUCAGGAGGAACACCGAUGGCGAAAGCAGGUCACUGGACCAUUAUUGACACUCAUCCACGAAAGCUGGGGGAUCAAACAGG
rnacentral:rRNA from 1 species